GAUGAACGCUGGCGGCGUGCCUAAUACAUGCAAGUCGAGCGAACGGACGAGAAGCUUGCUUCUCUGAUGUUGGCGGCGGACGGGUGAGUAACACGUGGAUAACCUACCUAUAAGACUGGGAUAACUUCGGGAAACCGGAGCUAAUACCGGAUAAUAUUUUGAACCGCAUGGUUCAAAAGUGAAAGACGGUCUUGCUGUCACUUAUAGAUGGAUCCGCGCUGCAUUAGCUAGUUGGUAAGGUAACGGCUUACCAAGGCAACGAUGCAUAGCCGACCUGAGAGGGUGAUCGGCCACACUGGAACUGAGACACGGUCCAGACUCCUACGGGAGGCAGCAGUAGGGAAUCUUCCGCAAUGGGCGAAAGCCUGACGGAGCAACGCCGCGUGAGUGAUGAAGGUCUUCGGAUCGUAAAACUCUGUUAUUAGGGAAGAACAUAUGUGUAAGUAACUGUGCACAUCUUGACGGUACCUAAUCAGAAAGCCACGGCUAACUACGUG
rnacentral:rRNA from 1 species